GGACCUGACAGAUUGGUGAAAUGUCACUGGAUUUGUCUCUUGUUAAGAAAAAUGUUGUAAGACCAACAUUUGCAUGUCUUCUCAAAAAGUGACUUCUGUCACAAUCCUCGCUGAAUUUGUUAAUUUGAUCUUGUCUGUUUCCUCUCUCUCAACAGGAAAGUCGAGCUUUUAUGACUUUUGCUAUUGACAGCAAGGAACAAAGAGUGAUGAUGUCAUACACCAAGGGAUCAUUUUCAGUUCAUGAGCUGCAGCAGUGUAUAGCAGUCAGCCAGAAAGCCUCAGAGAACAUCUUCCAGUUCUACAGAGACUCCGUCAGGAGGCGCUACUCCAAACACCUCUGAUGUAGCAGCAGCUCCAUUUUUCCUUUUUAAAAUAAAUAUAAAUGCUGAUGUUAUAAAAUAAAAUAUUCUUGAUUUUGUGAGUUUGGAUAUUUUGUGAGAUCUCCCUAUGUAGAAGUCAGGGCAAAAGAAUAAAGCAAAGAUGAAUGUCAAA